CGAGGUGUAGCGCAGCUGGUAGCGCGCCUGCUUUGGGAGCAGGAUGCCGCAGGUUCGAGUCCUGUCACCUCGACCA
rnacentral:tRNA from 4 species